rnacentral:rRNA from 1 species
AGCAGCCGCGGUAAUUCCAGCUCCAAUAGCGUAUAUUAAAGUUGUUGCAGUUAAAAAGCUCGUAGUUGAAUUUCGGGAUCAAUACGUCGGUCGUGCUUAGGUACGUACUGACGUAAUUGAUUUCUCCCUUCUGACGAACCAUGAUGUCAUUAACUUGGUGUCAUGGGAAAUCAGGACUGUUACUUUGAAAAAAUUAGAGUGUUUAAAGCAGGCUCACGCUUGAAUACAUUAGCAUGGAAUAAUGAAAUAGGACGUUCGAUCCUAUUUUGUUGGUUUUAGGAUCAACGUAAUGAUUAAUAGGGAUAGUUGGGGGCAUUAGUAUUCAAUUGUCAGAGGUGAAAUUCUUGGAUUUAUUGAAGACUAACUACUGCGAAAGCAUUUGCCAAGGAUGUUUUCAUUAAUCAAGAACGAAAGUUAGGGGAUCGAAGACGAUCAGAUACCGUCGUAGUCUUAACCAUAAACUAUGCCGACUAGGGAUCGGAUGAUGUUAAUUUUUUAAUGACUCAUUCGGCGCCUUAAC